UUGAGGCGGCCACAGCGGCGGGGUUCCACCCGUACCCAUCCCGAACACGGUAGUUAAGCCCGCCUGCGUUUCGGUGAGUACUGGAGUGCGCGAGCCUCUGGGAGAGCCGAUUCGCCGCCAUCCACU
rnacentral:rRNA from 1 species